rnacentral:rRNA from 1 species
UACGUAGGCGGCAAGCGUUGUCCGGAAUUAUUGGGCGUAAAGGGAGCGCAGGCGGGAAACUAAGCGGAUCUUAAAAGUGCGGGGCUCAACCCCGUGAUGGGGUCCGAACUGGUUUUCUUGAGUGCAGGAGAGGAAAGCGGAAUUCCCAGUGUAGCGGUGAAAUGCGUAGAUAUUGGGAAGAACACCAGUGGCGAAGGCGGCUUUCUGGACUGUAACUGACGCUGAGGCUCGAAAGCUAGGGUAGCGAACGGGAUUAGAUACCCCGGGCUGACUGACU